UCCCAGUGGACACCCACUUCAUCCACAGC
rnacentral:piRNA from 1 species